ACGUAGGGUGCGAGCGUUAAUCGGAAUUAUUGGGCGUAAAGCGCGCGCAGGCGGUUUCUUAAGUCUGAUGUGAAAGCCCACGGCUCAACCGUGGAGGGUCAUUGGAAACUGGGGAACUUGAGUGCAGAAGAGAAAAGCGGAAUUCCACGUGUAGCGGUGAAAUGCGUAGAGAUCAGGAGGAACACCCGUGGCGAAGGCGGCACUCUGGGUCGGCCCUGACGCUGAGGCGUGAAAGCGUGGGGAGCGAACGGGA
rnacentral:rRNA from 1 species